UAAUUUUCUCCCCCCAUACACACAUUCCAAGUGGAUUGAUCGAGGUCAAGACCCAAAGAUGAGGCAUGUGUUGUUCAUCGUGUUCCUCCUUGUUGGAUACCUUGCAGCGGCGUCAGAGUGUAAGCUAUCAUACAUAUUGGCCCUGUUUGGAUACUCUAACUUAGCUAGAGGUUAGAGUUAGUUUCUAGCUCGUGACUAACCCUAAACUAACUCUAACCAAAGAGGUGUUUUGAUGAGGGUUAGAUUGAUAAUAGAUGCACUUGAUUGAGAGAGAAAAGUGAUUUUUCAGUGGGCCCCAUGAGAUAUAGCUCCAAUUAACACAUCUUGGCUGAUGGGAUAGAGAGAGAAAAAUGAUUUUUUUAGUGGACCCCAUGAGAACUAGCUUCAAUUAGCAGCUCUUGGAUGGAAUAGUUUUUUGGAUGGGUUAGAUGCAACUAGCUCCAACUAAACCGUCAUGUUUGGAUACUUCAGGGCUAUUUGAGCCCCCAACUAGCUCAAACUAAUUCUAACCCAUGGAUCCAAACAGGAUCAUUGGUGUCAUCUUUUCGUGUAGACGAACACAUAACACUAUUAUUAUUGCGUGCAAACAGGUCGUCUGGAGGUUGGAAGCAGGCAUAGCGGUGGCCACACAAGCACUAGUAUAACUGCUCCCGUUUCGGCCAACUCAAUGGCGUUGGUAGACGAGAGCAAGAUUGUGGUGAAGUUCUGCACUCAGGUAUUCUGCGACAUUAAAGAUUUGCACAAGGGUGUCUGUUACUGCUGCGAGAAACCGGGCCGUCCGUGCUAUCAGACGCGUAGUGAGUGCCUUGACAAUUGCCCUCUUUGUAACCCCGAGUGCUCCCCGCCUUUAUUGUGAACAAACCAAACGACAGAUGGGUGAUGAACUCUUCUGAAGGUAUGGGGUGGUCCAAAAGAUGAUAUUAGUGCCAUGCACAAGGAAAAGAUGUCAUUAGUGCCACAUAAGAAAAUAUAUUAUUACUACAAUUUGAGUCAAAUGUUGUACCCCUUUUCAUUUUGAUAAUCCCAAGAUAUGAAAGAUAUCUAUAAUAUCAAUAGUUUGGUGAUGGAUUGGAAGCUUGUACUACAUGGACUGAUGCUCCAACUGAUACUUGUUCAACGACUUUACAUCUCCUCUCUUAAGAAGCG
rnacentral:lncRNA from 1 species